AUCACAAAAUUUGGAGAAUUGCAAAUUUCAAAGGGUAGCUGUGUUUUGAUUUGAUUAUUGUUUUGGAAGUGCAUGCUGUGUAGGCUCACAUUAAAAUCUGAGCCAAAUUUCUUCCCUAUCCCUUCAACUUUCUGGAAUAAUGAUUAUUUAUGUCCAGAUAGAUAAUGGUUAGAAAAGGAAAUUCAAGCAGGAAUCCUUUUCUUGUGCUUGCUUGGCAAGCUACAUUUUCCUAAAUCCCCAAAUCUGCAAUCCUAUGCACACUUAUCUGGGAGUGUGUCCCAUUUACCUCAGUGGGGGUAACUUUCAUGUAAGCGCACACAGACUCGGACUACAAAAUAAAAUAUGCUAGUAGGAAGUUUUACUGUGUUUUUAUUAUUGCAUAUUUAUGAUUGUUUUUAAUCAUAGUUAAUAUUAUGUUUAUACAGAAAAUCUCAAUAAAUUAUUUGGCAGUGGGAGGUCUUCUAUAUAAGUCUUAAAGGCAUUAGAAUCCUGUUUCUUUAAUGGUUGCCAUAAAGUUGCGUGGCCCAUAUUUCAGCCUCACUCUUGACUCUUCACAGAAUGUUGAUGACAACCUAUCAUCUGUUCAUAGGAUGUGUGAACUGCCAAGCGUGAGAAUUAAUCUUUAGGGACUAUAUAUUAAGUGCUGCUUUAGAAGAAAAUCCUGACAUUCUGAGUCAUCUAAGACCUUUGGUCGAACUAUUGUUUAAGCAAGACUCGGCCCUUUCUGUGUUAGGAUGACUAAUGUCUAGUGACGAGAAAUGUGGGACUUGGAGGUAAAGUGUGGGAAGAGUGCUGGGAGGAAGCUAAAUACAGAAGCCCUAACAAGUACUUAGAAAAAGGAAGAAGCUGUGAAUAGUAAUUAAGGAACAUAAUGAAUUUCACAAUGCAGUAACAGGCUGCUGAUCACUGACCACUAGGGCUGCUUUGAGAACAAUGAGACAAUAUGAAAGUAUCAAGACCCCGUCAAGAUUGUGGACAGCUGUACAAAAGUCUAGACCUGAAGGGUGUGUAGAAACUGGUACCAAAAGGUUAUGGAGGCCAGAGCUUGUGCUCCCAAUUCCUUUAAGAAAUACUUGCACUACUUCCAUAACCAGGCAGAGUGGGUUUGUUGUUGUUGUUGUUGUUUAGUCGUUUAGUCGUGUCUGACUGUUUGUGACCCCAUGGACCAGAGCACGCCAGGCACUCCUGUCUUCCACUGCCUCCCGCAGUUUGGUCAAACUCAUGCUGGUAGCUUCGAGAACACUAUCAUCUCGUCCUCUGUCGUCCCCUUCUCCUUGUGCCCUCCAUCUUUCCCAACAUCAGGGUCUUUUCCAGGGAGUCUUCUCUUCUCAUGAGGUGGCCAAAGUAUUGGAGUCUCAGCUUCACGAUCUGUCCUUCCAGUGAGCACUCAGGGCUGGUUUCCUUCAGAAUGGAUAGGUUUGAUCUUCUUGCAGUCCAUGGGACUCUCAAGAGUCUCCUCCAGCUCCAUAAUUCAAAAGCAUUAAUUCUUCAGCGAUCAGCCUUCUUUAUGGUCCAGCUCUCUCCUGAUAUUUUGACUAGAACCUUUAUAGCUGCUGAUGCCAGUAAACUGGGUUGAGGGGGAGGCUUGGUGGACUGAAUGAGUUCCGUAGGCUGGCAGUUCCUUGAUGCCAAUUUAUACCACCUAUCACUCACAGGGUCUUUCUGUACCUGAAGUUACAUAUACCUGUACAUGAAAUUAGAGGCAACUCACCAAGUGAGGUUCAAGCCUGGUUCUAGCCCUGAAGUCUCUGUCACAGAGCACCCACAAUUAUGAAGCCAAACCAUGGUAUUUGAUUAUGAUUAAUGCAUUUUCCAAAACUUGAUAUGUACAACUUACAUUUACCGAUACUUUCAUUUAUCUUGUAUCAGAAGACUUCCAUGUCCACCCCUCCAUGGUUCCGUUUGUUCGUUAUUUUGCUACAUAUCCUAAUACCACCCAAGUCCUUCUGUACACUAACCUAGUUGUUUUUAACUGCUGCUCAUAUUUCUAACCCUACUUGGAAGUUUCUUUGACUAUUAUAUCUCUUUAAAUGCUCCCCCAAAUAUUCCUACUCUUCCUGUGUCCCUUCUCUCAUCUUGAUUCCUUAUCCUUGCUAUCAUAGCAGCAAGUUGCAGAAUGAGCCAAACCUAGGUAUUUUAGAACCUAUUGCAUUUUAUUUACUUUUCUGAUGAGUAUUGCCAAUAUUGUGAAUACAUACAGAGAAGAACUUCAUAAGUUUAAUUAUUUGUGAUACUGGAAAACGUCUAAUUGCUCCACUCACUUGAAUCCCCUUCCAUCCAGUGCAUUUACUAUUCAGAUACACAUGCAAAAAAUACAUAUGGAUUCUCAGGCAUUUCAGUGGAGCAAUGCAAUCUCUCACACAUCUCCUCUCCAUUUAAAUUAAUGCAGAUCUUGCCAGCAUCAGAGAUGAGCUCCCAUCCCCAUGCCAAAGGAAUCGCUGGAUCCAGACAAGAGCUUGAUCUAAUAAGUAGAUUCUCAAUGUAGCAUUUUCACUGGGUACACUGAAAUAGGAAAAGUAGGGGUUUUUUUAUUGCAAUGCUACAGAGAUGUGAUUCUGGAAAUGCUAACAAUUCUAAACCAUUCAUACAAUAAUAUAUUGGGGUUGUUUCUGUUGUUCUCCUUAUAUUGCCCUGUAUAAACUAUUAAUAACAACUGAGAGCUAUUUAUCAAAUUCCAUGAGUUGCCUCAGAGUGGAAUAUUGGUCACUUUAUUUUUGAUUAAAACUCCAUAAAUCUGUCACAAAACCUUCAGUCUCUUAAGAACUACUCAGGGUGCAGCUCUUGCCAGAUUUCCUGCAAGAUGCUCAUAUAAUAGAUUAUAUUAGAAAUUAGUGAAACAAUUGUCCUCUGCUUGCCAUAUUUUUCCAUGUAUAAGACGACCCCUGCCUAAAACGGGGAGGCUAAGUCACAAUAUCUCCAGAGCAAAAAUGUCGAUUCUUAGCUUGAGGAAAGUUGAACUCUGGAACUCCUUGCCACAAGGAAAGCACCAUGGCAAAGAAUUUAUCCAUUUCCAAAAAUGGAUUAGGUAGCAGUAGAAAAUUAUUUCGAUAAUUACUCACUGAUUAUGCAAAGCUGUCUCCAUCUGCCAAUAUUUUGUGAUUGGUGGGUAUUAGUCAUUUGUAGCUGCAAGUGGGCCCUGGGAGUAGGAAGUUUGGGAACCUCUGGCUUAAGGCAUCUGAUGCAAUCAUAGGGCAGGAUUCACCUAACAAACCACAUCAAUGGAAGGCCUGCGUAAUGACUUUACUUGCACAACAGGGCUUCCCACCCCCCCACGUACUGUGCUCCAGAAACCAGCUAGGGUGGGGCUCAGGGGAACCUCCACUAAGAGCACAUAGCGGCAGUGGGAUCAUUCCACCUGGCAAGCUGAAUUGCUUUGCAUUUUUUAAUCCAAAACUUGAACUAGAAGUAUUAUUGCAUUAUGUCAGGAGCUCUGGAACCUUGAUAGUUGUGGAUAAUGAUUUAAUUUUCGUGAGGAAGUAUUUAUUGACAUUUAAAUUAGGGACUAUGUGUGGAGUGUUGUUUUGAAUUUAUAUGCCAGACUGAGUUAGCUACAACUCACUAAUUUCAGUUAAUUCAUUAAGAUCAUCUUUGCCUUUCCCCUACGAAAGGACCCCUGCAGUCUAGACGGGAUGUACUUCUUUGGGUGAUAAAUAAUGAAUAAAUACAGAGAGUGCCAUUAGCCAUUAAUGUAGCAGAUUGAUUCUCUGGAGCGUGCCAUCUCCAUCCUUACUUUAGUGCUUAUGCCACCUGCCUUUUGCACUUAUCAUAUUGGGCUUUAGUGAGAGUGAAUGAGAUUCCCUUAUCAUUCUUUGUUUACUUCAUUUUUACCAAUGCAUGCCAGCCAAAAUACAGCCUUUCUACAGUGACACAGAAGAAGAUAUAAAUUGGAGGGAAAGUGCUCUAUGUUAGCAUACCUUUAUUGCUCUGGCAUAGUGAUUUAUGUGGCUUAUUCAUCAUGAUUAGGGAGCAACUCAGAAGAUACUAGUUGUGUGUGUGUUUUAUAUCUAUCUACUUAAAGCACAUUACCAGAGAUUAAGGACUGUAAAGUUCUUAUAAUACAGGGAUAGGAAACCUAUGGCCCUCCAGCAGUUGUUGGGAAGUGCCUGCAUUGGAUACUAUUAGGAAUCCCAUAUGUACUGUCUAAAGGAGAACAGGAUAUUUUUAAGAUGCUGGUGGUGGUGAGUGGAUGGUGCAGUUCAGCCAAUUGAGGAUGGGUUGAUUAUGAACAUCUGAGUAUACUGAGCAAAAAUCAAGAAUGAAUUUUUUCAUUCUUGGAGGAGGAGGUGCUAUAGUUCAUUGGUAGAGCAUAUGAUUUGGAUGUAGAAAUUUCCAAGUUUAGUUUAAAACGGAUUUGGUGCUCUUGUGCAACAAACAUGAUUCUUGAUUCAGAGCACAGUCUCUCAGCUAUGGCACUACCGCAAUUCUCAUGGUUGCAUUAUAUUUUUAAACAACCAGGACAGACUGCAGAACAGACUCUACAACUGAACAUUUUCACUGCAGCAGCAGAAAAAGCAAGUCAAUCAAUAAAGGGGAGGGGAUGUCCAUAUAGUGCAGUUCAGUUGCAAUAAUAUACAAUUCUAACACAAGCAUGACAUAUUUAUGUGUUACUGUUUUUAUUCACUAGUAAGAGCUUUCAGACCUGGUGAUGCAUAUAAUUAGUUUAGCUGUCUUGAGCGACCUUCAGGUCCAAUCGGGCUGAAGGGGAAGGAGGCAAUCACCUCACCUGUCUAUCCCCUUGGAGAUGCCAGGACUGGUGUGAACCGAGUGUUCGGGCCCUACCCGCAAGGUGGAGUUCCCGUUUGCCUGCAAGAACCGAGCCACAUCCUGUUUGCCACUCUAAAGUUAUGCCUGCCCACUCCUUUUAUGAUAGAAGCUGUGUGUGUCAGCUGUUGAAUGAAUGUCUUUUGUUUGCUUAGCCCUGCCAUAUACCGUACUUGUUCCACCAGUGAUCAUUGGCUUGCCCAUGUUCUUUACUGAUUUGAACAUUAAAGUUUGUGGCAGAAAACAAAAUUUGAGCCCAAGUACUUCAUGCAGGACAUCAGCCACAGCACCCACGCCAAGCAGUGGCUUUCCAGGAUUGCAGACAAAGGAUGCUCCCAGCCUUAUCUAGAGAUGGCAGGAAUUGAACCUGGGCUGGGACCUUCCAUGUGCAAUAUUGAUGCUCCACCACUGAGCUACAGUCUUUCUCCAUAUUUCAAAUAGGGAAAUGUUAGUAUGCCUCUUCAAAAAAAGAAAAGAAAAGAAAAAAGAAAAAGGUAUGGUUAAUAAGCAAAAACAAUUUUAUUUUUAAAAACAAAAGGCAGAGUUUUCAUUGCCGUCACCCCACCCCCAAAGCAAAUAUAUCCAGUAGAAAUAUUCAAUUCUCCCUGUCCUAUAAUAGUACAUUUUGAAGCAGGCAGCUGAGGAGGAAUCAAGGACAGAACUGACACGCAGCAAGAGAACAAACUCAGCAGCUUUGUCAAAUGCUUCUCAGUUUGUCUGUUGCAUAACUGCAGUGCUAAAUGCUACUCUGACUAAUUUCUGCCACGUACAGAGCCAGAUUUUCACAUCAAGGAGCUGAGGCCAGAUUGUCAAAUGCUCAGCAGAGAAAUGAGGGCCAGAUUUUUCCAAAGUGAUCAACACCCAGCAUACAUGCUAAAGCACUGAGGUCUUCUGGAAAUUCUGGCACAUGGCUUUGUUGCCACCUCUGCAGUACAGCUGAGGUCUUGGUUAUAAACGCAGGGAAGAGUUUUCUGAACUGCCAUUGACUUUGGGGGUGGAUGAGGAUAACUUCAUCAUGUCCUCUCCUUUGAAUCUUCAAUAGCCAUCAAGGAUGAACUGUGUGGCAGGAGCUGACCAGAUCUUCUGGAUGUUGUCACCAGUUCCAUUCCUGGAUCUCAUCAGAGAGAAGAGUGCUUCAGGGAAGGGACUGCUCUUUACCAAAACUGCAACUAUAAUAACUUGUGCUUAAGCUUGCUUUCUCCUCCUCUUUCCCAUUCUUUUUUCCUUGUGUGCCAUAUCUUCUUAGCUGGUAGGCUGUUGGGAAAGGACCACCUUUGAACUGAAUUUUGUAAGCCGUUCUGAGAGCUUUUUUUUGGCUGGUGGGCUGGAUAUAAAUCCUGAAAAGCAGUUCCAAUUGCAAUUCUUUCUAAAAUACCUGGAAAAAUAAGAACAUCUUAACUUGAGGCCAACAAAUUGUAAAGUCAGCACCACACACACCUCCUUUGCAAGGACAUUCUAAAGUUGGAGAGCCACCACAGAACGGGCUCUCUGCUUUAUGACUACACAAUAGGUAAAGGUAAAGGACCCGGACCAUUAGGUCCAGUCGUGACCGACUCUGGGGUUGCGGCGCUCAUCUCGCUUUAUUGACUGAGGGAGCCGGCGUACAGCUUCCAGGUCAUGUGGCCAGCAUGACUAAGCCGUUUCUGGCGAACCAGAGCAGCGCACGGAAACGCCGUUUACCUUCCCGCUGGAGCGGUACCUAUUUAUCUACUUGCACUUUGACGUGUUUUCAAAUUGCUAGGUUGGCAGGAGCAGGGACUGAGCAAUGGGAGCUCACCCCGUUGCGGGGAUUAAAACUGCCGACCUUCUGACCUAGGCUCUGUGGUUUAACCCACAGCGCCACCUGCGUCCCUACACAAUAGACCUUUGUUAAAGCAGUGUUUGGGGAAAGGCUUCUACAGAAGAUCUUACUACACAAGCAGGCUAGUUUGAAGAUAAGAUAUAAAGAAUUAAAACAAUAUACAAAGUGUUCUAGUUGAACCUUACCGUAAACCAAAUGUUUGCACUGGUAUUCAAACUCCAUUUGCAUUGACAGCUUUUGUCUGAAGCAGCCACAAUAUAAAGGUGUUAAGAGUGUCUGCUUCACACACUGUAAUUGCUGUUAAUUAAUUUCAUUCCU